rnacentral:rRNA from 1 species
CUGGAACUGAGACACGGUCCAGACACCUACGGGUGGCAGCAGUCGAGAAUCAUUCACAAUGGGGGAAACCCUGAUGGUGCGACGCCGCGUGGGGGAAUGAAGGUCUUCGGAUUGUAAACCCCUGUCAUGUGGGAGCAAAUUAAAAAGAUAGUACCACAAGAGGAAGAGACGGCUAACUCUGUGCCAGCAGCCGCGGUAAUACAGAGGUCUCAAGCGUUGUUCGGAAUCACUGGGCGUAAAGCGUGCGUAGGCUGUUUCGUAAGUCGUGUGUGAAAGGCGCGGGCUCAACCCGCGGACGGCACAUGAUACUGCGAGACUAGAGUAAUGGAGGGGGAACCGGAAUUCUCGGUGUAGCAGUGAAAUGCGUAGAUAUCGAGAGGAACACUCGUGGCGAAGGCGGGUUCCUGGACAUUAACUGACGCUGAGGCACGAAGGCCAGGGGAGCGAAAGGGAUUAGAUACCCCUGUAGUCCUGGCAGUAAACGGUGCACGCUUGGUGUGCGGGGAAUCGACCCCCUGCGUGCCGGAGCUAACGCGUUAAGCGUGCCGCCUGGGGAGUACGGUCGCAAGAUUAAAACUCAAAGAAAUUGACGGGGACCCGCACAAGCGGUGGAGUAUGUGGCUUAAUUCGAUGCAACGCGAAGAACCUUACCUGGGCUUGACAUGUAAUGAACAACAUGUGAAAGCAUGCGACUCUUCGGAGGCGUUACACAGGUGCUGCAUGGCCGUCGUCAGCUCGUGUCGUGAGAUGUUUGGUUAAGUCCAGCAACGAGCGCAACCCCUGUUGCCAGUUACCAGCACGUGAAGGUGGGGACUCUGGCGAGACUGCCCAGAUCAACUGGGAGGAAGGUGGGGACGACGUCAGGUCAGUAUGGCCCUUAUGCCCAGGGCUGCACACGUACUACAAUGCCCAGUACAGAGGGGGCCGAAGCCGCGAGGCGGAGGAAAUCCUAAAAACUGGGCCCAGUUCGGACUGUAGGCUGCAACCCGCCUACACGAAGCCGGAAUCGCUAGUAAUGGCGCAUCAGCUACGGCGCCGUGAAUACGUUCCCGGGUCUUGUACACACCGCCCGUCACAUCAUGGAAGCCGGUCGCACCCGAAGUAUCUGAAGCCAACCGCAAGGAGGCAGGGUCCUAAGGUGAGACUGGUAACUGGGAUGAAGUCGUAACAAGGUAGCCGUAGGGGAACCUGCGGCUG